GGACGGUAUCUUCCGGGUAUUUCUCAUGGACACCACAUAUACACACGACGACCUGACUUGUAGGACCUUGGUAGUACUGUUCUAGUGUCACAUAUCAAACCCCGUCCACAAUGAUAUACUUCAUAUUGGAUGCAAGAUUCACACCAGAUAGGAAUGCUAAUAACUGUAUUUCACCUCCUUUAAUUCAGAUUGACCAACUGCUCCUGGUCAUAUCCCCCUCCCCCACACAUGUAUGCACGCUUAAACAUAUUGGCGUAUACUAACAUACGUACUUACCAAUUAUUUAACACACUUAGGUUUUUUUAACCUAUCUUGCGAUAUCAUAUAGGUUCUCGGGCUGACAGAUUAACCUCACCCAAGGCAGCUAUCGAAG